UUUUUACCUGCAUUUCCCCCUCUUUCUGCUGCCCUUCGCAAGGUGUACGGCGGAGCCGCAGUGAAGCCUUGCCGAGCGCUCCCAAAACCGCGGGAAUUUCACCCAAAACGUUGGAAUUUCAGGGAUUUGUGCCCGUCACCCACCAUACACCAUCCUAAACAUACUCAAAAUCCUAAAUUUAGGGGAAAAGCUGACAAAAUUUGGGAAAAAACCCACAAAAUUUGCUUCCUGAAGUUGGAGACUUGCUGUGAAAAUCGGCGGGAAAAAAUCCAAAAAUUUGGGGAAAAAAGACAAAAAUUGGGAUUUAACACCAAAAUUUCAGGAUAUAGAUUUCUGAAACCACCCCAAAAAAUCCAGAAUCAUCCAAAAUCUGAGGAAUUUGACCUUUUUUACCUGCAUUUCCCCCUCUUUCUGCUGCCCUUCGCAAGGUGUACGGCGGAGCCGCAGUGAAGCCUUGCCGAGCGCUCCCAAAACCGCGGGAAUUUCACCCAAAACGUGGCAAUUUCAGGGAUUUGUGCCCGUCACCCACCGGAUGUGGCGCUGGCGGAUGAGC